AAGUAAAAAACAAAGCAUUUGCUGAAAGUUAAUGUAUAAAACACAUCCUUGAUCACAUUAUGACAAUAAAGGAUGGUUAUUUAAAUGGUGUUUGGCACAUCCUACAUGAUAAACUGAGAUAAUGAACUGAAUAAUUGGUUAUUAGGUAGUAGGAUUUUUGAAUCCAACAUUUGGUUAGUAGUAUUAUAGAUCUUUUAUUUCCAACAUGACCUUGGACAGAACUUAUCUUUUAUCCACUGCCUUAAUACCUAUCUAAAUGUCCAGUGUAUCUAUAUAUGAUACGGACCGAUAGAAGUCUCUUUCGAAACAACAAAACUCAACAUAACCUUAGAAAUUGUUAUAUUUACCAUUGACAACAAAAACAUUGAAGUACAUAACUAACAACUGCAAAAUAGCAUCAAUAUAAUGGUAGAUGAAAAAAUUGGAAAGAUUUUUUAAAAGGGCAACUUAAAAGAACUCGCCAACAAAAAGAUGAAAUAAGAUUUUGGAUCAAAUGUGAUGUCUUUUAUGAUUGUUGCCCCUUUUAAGUCCUCUAUAUAUCGUGUUUAGCGGCAUAUUUGUUCCAUCUGCAUGUGGAUGCCAUCCGUAAUCUAAUGAACUAUGGAAUAACCCAUCUAUUUUAGCUGAUGACCAUGCAUCUGCUGAAGCAUCUAGAGAUGACACUAGAAUUUGUAAGUUCUACGGAGUAUAAUUGGCUGAAAAUGUUGGUUCUUAAUAUGGCUUAAAGUUAUGCACUUCACUAUUGUUGUAAUUUUUAAGAUCUAGGUGAUGAAGCAAAUGAGUUCCUGUUGCAGAUACAUACAAUAUUGUAAGAGCAAUUGCCAUCCGCGACUGUCAGAUUCUGCAGCCUCAAUGUUAAAAGAAAGUUAUGUCAAAAUCAGGCAGGAUGUGAGGCGGCAGUCAAAUGGAACUGGGAGGCAACAGUAAUACCAAUUACUGUGCGGCAACUAGAGGUCAUAGUAAGUUGAAACCGGGCUGACGUACAAUAUGGAACUUUGUUAUUGGUGGUCCGCCCACAUGCAAUACUUUUAGUCCUGUUUGUAUUAUCUCUCUCCAUUUUUUUUUUUAAACAAUCCGCGCAUCGCGCGGGUAUGUAUACUAGUUUAGUUAAUGUGAUGG